UGCACACGUAUUUGUCCUCGCUUCAGGUUUUGGAUACGUACACCUCCAUUUCAUUGUACCUCAUAAUUGUGAGGCAUCGACAUGACAUGUUCACUUGUAUAGAUAUUGACGCGUUGAAUCAAAUUCGUACUGCCAGGAAUAAAAAUCCAUCAUUGUAACCCAAUCUAUGUCAUCCCUGUUGGAAAUGUGCCCCAAAGCCAAUCGUAUGAUGAUACUUUAUGGACAUUUCACAUGUUCAACUAAUCUGGUUUAAUAUAAAGGGCAAAGAUUAUUAUUUAAAGUCGUCUCAUAUCAAUGUUAUAUACUUAAACGAUAAGUCCAUGAAAUAUGUAAUUGGGAGAAUGUGACCUAAAGAAGUUAAAUUCAUGAGACCAUUUUCUUUCGUAAACAUAUCCUAAACAUUCCUAAUCAUAGGAUUGCGCAUUGACAAUCUGUUAAGAUCAAUACGUGCUAUGUCUUCUCUUAAAGAGAGUGACUGGCCUCGAGUCAUUGGUGUGACUGACACUAAGACAAGCAUGUAGGUGCUCAAUAGAGAAUGAGUCCACUGAACGCGAUCAACAACGAGUUCUCAUACUUAUGUCACAUGAAAACUCAUGGUUGGGAUAAUGCAAAGUAGUCCUU
rnacentral:lncRNA from 1 species